UACGGGAGGGCAGCAGUGGGGAAUAUUGCACAAUGGGCGCAAGCCUGAUGCAGCCAUGCCGCGUGUAUGAAGAAGGCCUUCGGGUUGUAAAGUACUUUCAGUCGUGAGGAAGGUGUUAAGGUUAAUAACCUUAGCAAUUGACGUUAGCGACAGAAGAAGCACCGGCUAACUCCGUGCCAGCAGCCGCGGUAAUACGGAGGGUGCGAGCGUUAAUCGGAAUUACUGGGCGUAAAGGGCACGCAGGCGGUUAAUUAAGUUGGAUGUGAAAUCCCCGGGCUUAACCUGGGAAUGGCAUUCAAGACUGGUUAGCUAGAGUCUUGUAGAGGGGGUAGAAUUCCAUGUGUAGCGGUGAAAUGCGUAGAGAUGUGGAGGAAUACCGGUGGCGAAGGCGGCCCCUGGGACAAAGGACUGACGCUCAUGUGCGAAAGCGUGGGGAGCAAACG
rnacentral:rRNA from 1 species